rnacentral:rRNA from 1 species
UACGUAGGGUGCGAGCGUUAAUCGGAAUUACUGGGCGUAAAGUGUUCGCAGGCGGCCGCGCAAGUCGCGUGUGAAAGCCCCGGGCUUAACUUGGGAAUUGCGCUCGAAACUACGUGGCUGGAGUGUGGCAGAGGAAGGUGGAAUUCCACGUGUAGCGGUGAAAUGCGUAGAGAUGUGGAGGAACACCAAUGGCGAAGGCAGCCUUCUGGGCCAACACUGACGCUCAUGCACGAAAGCGUGGGGAGCAAACAGG